UACGUAGGGGGCAAGCGUUGUCCGGAUUUAUUGGGCGUAAAGAGCGUGUAGGCGGUUUGGUAGGUCCGCUGUGAAAACUCGAGGCUCAACCUCGAGACGCCGGUGGAAACCAUCAGACUAGAGUCCGGAAGAGGUGAGUGGAAUUCCUGGUGUAGCGGUGAAAUGCGCAGAUAUCAGGAGGAACACCGGUGGCGAAGGCGGGUCUCUGGGCAGUAACUGACGCUGAGGAGCGAAAGCGUGGGGAGCGAACAGG
rnacentral:rRNA from 1 species